rnacentral:lncRNA from 1 species
GGUAGCAGGAACCAUGCAUGAAGGCCGAAAGGCUCACCUGUAGCUCUUUGACAAUCAUAAAGCACAGAAGCCUGUCUAACCCGUUCAGACCGAAAGUCCCCAAGGUGGUCUGGAUUUCUGAGAAGAGCCGGCUGCUGGUCACUUCUUGGUGAGUCUUCAUAUCAUACCAAGUGUUCAGCUGGUCAAUGUGACAUGUCAUUCUAAAGGAAAGACAAAAAACUCAAAACCCAAAAGCAGCUCAGAGUUCAUCCUGAGGAGAUGGGGGACGUAACAGGAUUUGGGCACCAGAUAUAAGGGAUGACAUGACGUGAUUCGUUUAAUAACGUCUGCGUCCAGGCACCCAGUGUAUCUCACGGUGAAUGCCCAAUGGGCAAAAUUCAGUGAAAUCACCUUUUCCUGCCCUAUGCCAGGUCACCGCUUGGACUAAUUCAUUUCCACUGAAUUGGACUGUUGUUUGGAGCUGAGCGGAGAGGCCAAG